GAUAGAUAGAUAGAUAGAUAAAUAGAUAGAUAGAUUUAGGAUUGACUAUCUAAAUUGCUCCAUGAGCCCAACUUAUUUUUACAGAGUUGAUUUAGUUAUAUUGUGACUCAGAACAUUGCCAAUCCAAUACUGCACAGAUUGACUUGAUGAAGACGAAAAACUGACCAAGAAGGCAACCCCAUUGAGAUGUAGGUAGGCAGACCAUGACAUCAAACUCAAAGCCCAACUCUGAGCAUGUUGAGAAUUGUACCUACCUCAGAAAUCACCUCCUGCUUCAGCAUUUCAGCAGCAUUCCCUGUGAACCUAUUAAACAGGAAAUGGCCAGCCAGGGACUCCAACAGGAAAGUGACAUUCAUCUUGGCAUGGCUUUAUGGAACUGGCCCCAUUUGGAAAACAGAUGACCACCAGACACUCAAGGAACUUUCCUAAUUGUGAGCAAAAGUAGGGCAGCCACAACCAGGAUGGGGCAGGAGAACUAUUUUAAGGACUCCCUGAAGCACAGCUUGAAAUGAUGAGGCCCAGCUUUGUCACAUUGGCCUGAUGGGGAUGUGCUUUUAGAGACCUUAGGCUAACUCGGAAAACUCAGACAGAGCAAGCAAAAGGCUCCAGUUCUGCAAAUAGCAGCUGCAACCACACUUCCAAGAACAGAAUGGGUCCUUUCAGCCAUACUCAUUCAAACUAUCAGGCUGUGUCUUACUGUCAUCUUGGAACUCGAAAUGUGUACUGGAAAUGCACUGACCUGGAUAAGAGAAAUUCAUUCGGAAUAAUUUGCCUCAGUAACAUAUGAAACAGUUCCAACUGGGCUAGAAAAGGAUUGGCCAGGUGUCUACAAGGGAGUUUGCCUGAAGGACCAGACUGACAGGCCAGCUUCAUACUCUCCUGGGACAGAAAGGGCACGCAGAGAUUUGGAACUGUAGGCAUGAGGAGAAGCGGCUUUGCACUGGGGGUUCUGGAAGAGUGAGCCACUUGAAAGACAGAAAGGGACUUUUUUAUAGUAAACAAAUGACCAUUUCUGUGUAGCCAGGCUUGACUUCAAACUGUUGGCACCUUUAAUCCUUAGCCUGAAAUCUCUGACUUCCCAGAGAGACUAGAAGUAAAGGGUAAUUGCUCCCCAGAAAGGAGAAAGUAUUUCCCUAAUUGGUCAGGCAUAGGGGUGGGUGGAAAGUGCCCAGAUCCCUCGCACCACAAGAGAUGACUCCAACAUGAGAGUCCUACUCCAAUUCCUAGACCUCCAUGGUAGAUCGCACUCCAAUUGUCUGAAGUGGUAUCUGGCAUGAUCAUGUGCUCUUACUUGCCUCUCUUCGCUACACCGUACUUGGGUGCCUGAUACCAACUAAACUAUUUGUACUUAAAUUUUGUCUCAAGGUUGGCUCCUGGAGGAAUCCAAACUAAGGCACCUCAACCCAGCGAAAUAUAGCAGCUGGAGAAGAAGACUCUUUAUGUCAAAGGAAAAGAAAUGGCAAUCCCCCAAGUUUCCUUCUUUUUCUCCCAUCAAGCCAUUAAUGUGUAUAGAUGGAAGCAAAUUGAUAGCAUAAUAAUUGUUUUCACUUGUCCAGCUUAAUUAAGGUAUGAUUGAUAAAUAAAUUUGUAUAUAUUUAAAAUAUAUUAUGUGAUAGUUUGAUAUAGAUAUAUAUUGUGAAAUGAUCACC
ensembl:lncRNA